GAUGAACGCUGGCGGCGUGCCUAAUACAUGCAAGUCGAGCGAAUGGAUUAAGAGCUUGCUCUUAUGAAGUUAGCGGCGGACGGGUGAGUAACACGUGGGUAACCUGCCCAUAAGACUGGGAUAACUCCGGGAAACCGGGGCUAAUACCGGAUAAUAUUUUGAACUGCAUGGUUCAAAAUUGAAAGGCGGCUUCGGCUGUCACUUAUGGAUGGACCCGCGUCGCAUUAGCUAGUUGGUGAGGUAACGGCUCACCAAGGCAACGAUGCGUAGCCGACCUGAGAGGGUGAGCGGCCACACUGGGACUGAGACACGGCCCAGACUCCUACGGGAGGCAGCAGUAGGGAAUCUUCCGCAAUGGACGAAAGUCUGACUGAGCAACGCCGCGUGAGUGAUGAAGGCUUUCGGGUCGUAAAACUCUGUUGUUAGGGAAGAACAAGUGCUAGUUGAAUAAGCUGGCACCUUGACGGUACCUAACCAGAAAGCCACGGCUAACUACGUGCCAGCAGCCGCCGUAA
rnacentral:rRNA from 1 species